AGACAGGCUCUUCGGAGCCACAUCCCUGCCUUGCCGACCUCCCAGCUGGAUGCUCCUCUCUGCCACGCUGGCCCUGGAGAGCUGGAGAGGAUGGACACGCUGCGCCGGAGCCUUUCCCGCUGGAAGAGGUACCACAUCAAGGUGCACCUGGCUGACGAGGACCUGAUGAUGCCCCUGACAGUCAGGCCCAGGGACACAGUGAUGGACCUGCGGGCUCUCUUAGUGCGGGAGGGCGUCACCUCCUGGAAGAAGACAUUUUAUUACAACUCCAGGCAGCUCGAGGAGCAUGAGACUCUCAAAGAGGCCAACAUCCAGAAUGGCUCUGUCCUCCUCCUUGUCAGCAAUAAAAGAUAAUGCCAAGGAGCAGAGCCAAAGCCAUGAGAGACGGGGAGUGUGACAAGGGCUGAAGGGAAGCAGAUGGAAGAGAGCUUGGCCAUGG